rnacentral:ncRNA from 1 species
GAUUCCUGCCCAGUGCUGUGAAUGUCAACGUGAAGAGAUUCAUGAAAGCGCGGGUAAACGGCGGGAGUAACUAUGACUCUCUUGUUUUUUUAACUAUGACUCUCUUUUGGGACACAAAGUCGGUUGGGUUGUAUCCCGCCGUCAAGUGCCAACUCCACGUCCCCGUCGUGUGUCCUGGGGGCGCAGGUCUUAUUAUUCCUGCGUCUGCUAACGGAGCUCUGGCUAUCAUUGGGAAAUGGGGUUGCCGACCCCCUUCCCUGUAAUUACUUGGUGUGAAAAGCAAAAAGAAUAAAGAUGAACGGGGCAGUCAAGAGCUUGUCCCUCAAAGUACAGACGUGCGCACUGGUGGCCCUGAU